CCCACUGUAGCUCAGUUGGUAGAGCAUGGCGCUUGCCACGCCAGGGUUGUGGGUUUGAUUCCCACUGGGGGCC
rnacentral:tRNA from 1 species